rnacentral:rRNA from 1 species
CACGUAGGAGGCGAGCGUUGUCCGGAAUCAUUGGGCGUAAAGAGCGCGCAGGCGGCCCGGCAAGUCGGGUGUGAAAUCCCGGGGCUCAACCCCGGGACUGCAUUCGAUACUGCCGGGCUAGAGGUAGGUAGGGGAGAUCGGAAUUCCUGGUGUAGCGGUGAAAUGCGCAGAUAUCAGGAGGAACACCGGUGGCGAAGGCGGAUCUCUGGGCCGAUACUGACGCUGAGGAGCGAAAGCGUGGGGAGCAAACAGG